rnacentral:lncRNA from 1 species
UGGGCUCUGGCCGGGAGUCUGCCGGGGCAGCGAGGGCUGGGGGCGCGCGCGCGCGCCCGUGCCCGGACCGUCCGCCGCGGCCGCUCGCUCUCCCGUCUCCCGCCUCGUGCCACCGUCUGGGUCAGCCCCCUCGGCCCUUCCGCCCGCCUCCAGCCGCCGGCCCGCAGGGAUUCCUGAUUGUCAUGAAGCUCGCCUCCAAGAGUGAUUCUGGUACCCAGGAUCCUUGCUCCUUGUGACUCUGCCACCUUACAUCAUGGCUUUGAAGAUCCUCAUGUUUAUCUGCAUCAAUCUAGAAGAGUAAAAAUCAUGAAGAAUAUCCAAGAAGAUUUUUAUAAGCCAAGUCUGGAAGUGGCACACAUCCCUUCUGCUCACAUUCUAUUGGUUAGAACCCAGCUCAUGGCUACACCUACCAGAAAGGGUCUGGGAAGUAUAGUCUAGCUGUUGGUACAGGAAGAUAAACAAGCUUUGAGGAACACAGAGCAGUCUCCCAAUCUUGUACAAGGCUGAGAAAUUGUCACAAUUACGUGAUUUUUAGCCCCAUGCAAGAGCUUGAGAAUGGGAAUAAACUGAGGACCAAUUUUAUAAAAUAUUUUGACUACUGGGCUUUUACUGGAUGCAUGUGUGGGUAAUUUUAGAUUCCCUAAAUGAGCAUCUUGCAUCCUUCCGUGGUAAUUGAUAAUUGAGAUUAUCAAAAGCUAGAGUUGUUAGAACAUUAGAUUCUCCAGAAAGAUCAAUCUAUCUAUCUAUCAUUUAUCUAUCGCCUCCAUAUUCCUGGAGAUUCUAAUUCAACUACCAGGGAAUUCUAAAUCAGUGAACUUGGGAAUGUGUUUUUAACAUAAGGGAAUUAAGACUCAGUUGCAAGUGACAGAAGUCCAAUUCACAUGGUCUUAAGCACCAAAGGAAAUGUAUUAGUUCAUGAGACUGUGCCAGUGGUGGGACUACUUUGGGGCAUAGAUGGAUAUAGACAUGAAGAGUCUCAUCGGGUCAAUCCCGCUCUCCAUCUAUCACCUGAUCUCCUCAGUAAAGGAUCCAGUUUUGGGCCAUCUCCUGUCAUGGGUCAAGGUAGCCAUUAGCAGCUCCAGGCAUAUGUUUUUAUGAACAGCCCCAUGAGAACUACUCUCUCAGUAAAAGUCCCAUAAUUUAUCCCUUUGGCACUAAUUGUCCUGGUUUGGAUCCCAUGCCUGUUCCUGAAGCAAUCACUGUGACAAAAAAAAUAAUAAUAUCCUCUGAUUGUCCAGGCCUGGGUCAUGAGACCAUCCUGAAUCUGAAGGUAAGGUUAGACCCAUAUCACAAACGUAGACCAGUGGGCAGCAGGGGUAGCUCCUGAAGAGAGAAUGGGGGCAGGGAAGGGAUAUUAGGCAAGCAUCAACAACAGGAUUCUCAUACACUAAGUUGUAGGAGGCUCCAAGAGAAGUGGGAGCUCUGAGCUUGGGACUCCCCACAGGACUGUGGGAAGGAGCAAUCCCUCAGACCUGCAUAAGGGCCUCCACUCACCAAGCUGCUCGAUGCCUUCCACCCACCCCAUCCCAGACCCUCUGUGGAGUUCCCCAUGCUUGAACACAUGAAGCUGGUGUGACUCUCAGACUUUCUUUGUCAGAAGGCCAGGAAUCUACUUGGCCCUUUCACCCAGACCCUCUCAGUGGCCCUACCCCCAGCAGGCUUGCCCCUCCCUGCCCCCAGCCAAGGCCUAGUGCUUGAUUACCAACAACACUGAGGACUUAAGCUAAUAAUGACUUAAAACAGAGAUUUCUGACUUCAGGCUUAUGGGCAACAGAGGACCCAUGAACUCCUAAAUAUGAAUUCAACAUUCUGUGUGUAUGGACAUAAUGUAUGUGAGUGUUUCUCCUCCUAAUCAAGGGAAAAAAUUCACAACUUUCUUUAAAUUACCUAAAGACACUUAACCUAAAAAGGACUUAAGAACCACCAAUGUCAAUUGUGGCUUCUCUGGGCAUCUGUUUCAAGUAUUUAGUGGUGCAGUUUCAUGUUCUGUAGUACUUAUUCUGGAGAAGCAGGAAGCUAUGGGCCAAAUUGAAAUGAUGCUCUUAGAUCAGUAUUUCCUGAAAUGGGCUCUCUGGAAGAUAGGUUGAUGUGAUUUUUUGUCUAGCAAGAGAAACAAAAAUAUCUUCAUGUUCAAAUAAGUUGGGGGAAUGCUGGGUGAAACAGACUUCUUUUCUGCAGGACUUGUCAUAAUGUUCUUUAAUGUUCUAAUAUGUCAAGUGACUCUCCAGGAGGGGUUGUAGCAGGCACCGUUUCCCAGACUGACUUACCACAAGCAGUCUUGUAUGGGGCUUUGCUAUGUUUGCAGCAUCCUGUUAAACAUUUCCCUGAAAAGGACUCAUGGGAUUAGCCAUUUGGGAAGCCCCUUGUCCUCAAGGCAUGUAUGUUUGUAGUAGCAGCUUUGAGUUUGUGCUGUGAAGGGAUCUGGGAGCAAGCAUGGAAAGGCUUCAAAAGGGGCAAUAUUUAAGAGAAAUCGUUCUCUGUUCUUUGCCUGAAUUAGAACAAACGAGGUGUCAAGAUGUUUGCGAGGCUCCAUGGCAUCUCUGUAUCUGUGAGCUGUGGAGUGUCAGGUAGAAAGAGCAAGGGGCUGGGGUCAGCAUGCCUUGGGCAGACUCCUGGCUCUGCCACUGACUGACUAUGUAAUUAAGGCAUGGGCUUAACCCCUCUGAGCAUCUGCCAGUUAUCUGUAAAAGGAUCUGAUGGGAGGAUUAAAUGAGAUCGGGUACUGAAUGUACAGUGUCUGGCACACAGAAAUGCUCCUCCAUAGCAGCUGAGGCAAAAAACUGUCUUGGUUCUUUACCCUUUGUUCUGGAGGCUCCAGGAAAUUCUCCCAUUGUUCUUACCUCCCUUAUCCUCUUGCCUCAACCAUCUCUCACCUGGUCUUGACAGCUCCCCACUCUCUCCUCCUCGAGCUGCUUUGCUUAUGCUCCAGACAUGUCCAAAUGCUGCUGACCCUCUUCCCUGCCCUCUUGGGGCAGCUGGGGUGAUGGCAGCUGGACCAUGACCUCCAAGGCCAGCAACUUUCCAUGUGCCCCAGAAACUACCCUGGCACCACCUUGGGCUGAAAAACCACAUGGAAAUGGAUGCAAAGGCCACACUAUUUGCUGAUGCUUGCAGACUGUCCUUAAGGUCACCCUUUGUGGUAUGUCACCAAAAGCCAACAACUCCACGCUGCGUCUACUCUAUCAGAGCUUGUUUCUAUCUGCAUCUGUCAUCGCUGAUUGCAUUUGAAUGGGUUUAGUCUCUAUUUUAAAUAAAAGA